UACGGGGGGAGCAAGCGUUGUUCGGAUUUACUGGGCGUAAAGGGCGCGUAGGCGGCCAGCACAAGUCAGUUGUGAAAUCUCCGAGCUUAACUCGGAAAGGUCAACUGAUACUGUGCGGCUAGAGUGCGGAAGGGGCAACUGGAAUUCCUGGUGUAGCGGUGAAAUGCGCAGAUAUCAGGAAGAACACCCGUGGCGAAGGCGGCUCUCUGGGACGGUACUGACGCUGAGACGCGAAAGCGUGGGGAGCGAACAGG
rnacentral:rRNA from 1 species